UUAAAGGUGCCUUUGACAUUUACUUUCUCCCAGGAGCUUGGAGAGCCAGCAUAAUAGUGCCAGACAAACAUCCCCACAUCAUCAGCUGAGUCAUUCUGUGUUGUGACUCCCUCUGACCUCAUAAGGUUUGGGUUCCUGAAAUGUGCUAGUCACUCUGUGAGGGAGGAAAACAGGCACAGGCUUCCAGAACAAUAUAGUCCUUGGAGAAGGAAAUGUUUUUAUAAAAUGUUACCAGCUGAACGGCGGCACCAAAAUAGAGCAAUGACAGAGCAUUUGUUCAUCUGAGGAUUCAGCGGAGGAGGCACCACGAGCGGAGCAAGCUACGGCAGCCUGACAGCUUGGAUUGUCACACCAGCAGAGCUCAAGCCUUCAUCAUUUUUAUCCUUUGAGCACAUAAUUGGAUCUACCUAUUAAAAUGAUAUCUAAUGAAAUCAAACUUUUCAUACUAAUUGUGUAAAAGAAUGAAGAAAUAGCAUAUGACUAAGGAACAUUGAUUUCUGUCUUGUUACUCAAUUACUUAUCCACCCAGAAAACUGCCAUUCUAACAAUGCUUAAAUGCAUUUCUACUGGUACAGAAAGGACUUCACAGGGACAAGAGUAAGUUUAAUAAAGGGGGAGGACAGAAGUGAGAAACAGAAUCCGGGGAGCACAGCUGGAAAGUUCUCUCUUAAAAUAUUAAGCUAACAGCUAGCCUGUUGUUUUGUGGUUUUUUUAGUUACCAGGGUGUUGUAUCUUUUCUAAAAAGAGCCCCAAAUCAAAAUCACAGCCCAUGAUCCCUCCAUUGGUGUUCAUCCAAUUAAACAACUCUAUCAUAGACUAGUUCUUGUUCUUUUAAAGACUAGAUUUCUCUCUCAAGGUAUGCAUGUGUGUAUGCAUAUUUGAUUCUUCCAAAAUUUGGGGGGGGUUCUUUUGUAAAAACACAUCAUAAUUCAGCUAUCUUUUACUGCUUCAAGAUUGCUGAGGUUUGUACUUUGAAAAUAUAAUAGUUCUUGUAAUAAUUUCCUGUUAUUCCUUUAGGGAGCUGAAAAUCAACUAAUCUGACUCCAUGCUUAUCUUUAAAGGUCCAACCUCUAUCUAUUAUGUGUCAGCUAAAAUGGAGCAAACGUUUUGUGUAUGUGUGCAUGGGAAGGGAAAAAAUAUAAAUAAACAGAAGGGAGAAACUCUAGGAUGUGUUGUAGUUCCUCUUUCCUUAUCAUGAAGCAAAAAUGGCAAAAAUAGGAGCAUUGUUGCUAUGCAUCUCAUGGUCCUUGCUCAUGUCCCCAUGGUAACUAGCAGAAGUCAUUUGCAUUCUGCAGGAGCAUCAGGGAGAUGCAUGUGUGCAGCACUUCAGAGGGGUGCAUGGUCCAAAGGGCAGGGCAAAUAUGGCCAGCUUUGCAAAAGCACUCAAAGGCCACCUGCAGGAAGCUAACAGAAGUCCUAUUAAUAUGUAAACCUUGCCAAAACAAAAUUUUAUUUUAAGGUUAGUUUGAACGUUCAGUAAGGGGAAAAGCUCUGGAAGUUUGUGGUGGUCCAACAUACAGUUCAUGAUGCAGGCCCUCAAAUGUCAUCAGGAAGAAAAACUCUUCUGAAAGUGGAGAUGCAGAUUUGCUUCAACUUUACAUUUGGUCCUCAUUUUACUGCAUUAAGAAGUUUAAUUGAUGUUUUCUUUCACUAUUGCCUGCCUGUUUUCCUCCUGCCAAAAAUGUCCUUCCCUCUGUUAUGGAUUUUCAAGAUUUAUAAAUAUUUUUAUCUAUAUUAUGUAUAAUUAUAUUUUGUGAUAAAUAUGAUAUGUGCUUUAAAUAUCUAAGUAAUAAUUAUGAUAUAUUUAUAGAAGUAUGUCAGUAUAUACUAUAAAUAUUAUGUUCUUAUUAAUAUAUUUCUUUAGAAAAUGUCUGCUUUUAGAGGAAAUGUCACUGAAAACUUUUAUCUAUAUGUGUGUUGGUUUAUAAAGUUUUCAUAGCAGGAGUGCUACUGAAGUGGGUUCUCUAAGAAGCUGCCAGAUGCUUCCCCUGUGUCCAGCAAAGCCACUGCCAGCCAGCUCCAAGACAGAGCUGGUGUUGGCCAAGCCCAUCAGCGAUGGUAGGAGCAGCUCUGGGUAAUGUCGGAAUCCAGAACAUCCCUCUGGGUGCCCUGGAUGGCCAGAGCCGCUGGCAGGGGGCUC